CUGUCUGUCUGUCUGUCUAUCUAUCUAUCUAUCUAUCUAUCUAUCUAUCUAUCUAUCUAUCUAUCUAUCUAUCUAUCUAUUUAUUUGUCUGUCUAUCUAUCUGUUUAUCUGUCUGUCUGUCUGUCUGUCUGUCUAUCUAUCUAUCUAUCUAUCUAUCUAUCUAUCUAUCUAUCUAUCUAUCUAUCUAUGUCUGUCUGUCUGUCUGUCUGUCUGUCUGUCUGUCUAUCUAUCUGUCUGUCUGUCUGUCUGUCUGUCUGUCUGUCUAUCUAUCUAUCUAUCUAUCUAUCUAUCUAUCUAUCUAUGUCUGUCUGUCUGUCUGUCUGUCUGUCUAUCUAUCUGUCUGUCUGUCUGUCUGUCUGUCUGUCUGUCUAUCUAUCUGUCUAUCUAUCUAUCUAUCUAUCUAUGUAGCCUUUUUUAAUGACUGUUUAUUUUGUUAAAUAAUCAAACUAAACAGAUCGUAGGAUAAUGUUCUAUUAAGAAAAUCUGAUCCGCCCUACCCGAUCAUAACUGUGAGAACACAAAGCUGUGAAACAGCAGAUUUACAGCAGCCCCAGGCGUGGGAGAGCACUGACUCUGUUCAGAGGCUGGAGAAGAGAUCAGAAGAGUGAAACAUGAAAACUGAAGAAUAAACCAGGAUCAGAGAUCAGAUCUGCUCAGAACGUGGAGCUGUAACAUCUCACCAGAUUGUACCACCAUCACCACCAUGAGGGAGGAGAAUUCAAGGAGAACCCGGAGCUCCCGGAGCUUAACGUGUCCAGUGAGAGGUGACCCGAGGAGACGCAGACGGAAAUUCAGCCUCGUCACAGACUUUAAAGUCUCCAGCUUGUCCAGGAAAAAUAGACAAGUGUAAGGAUUUGAGCGAGUUUGACGAAGGGCCUAAUUGUGAUGGCUAGACCACUGGAUCAGAGCAUCUCCAAAACUGCAGCUCUUGUGGGGUGUUCCCGGUCUGCAGUGGUCAGUAUCUAUCAAAAGUGGUCCAAGGAAGGAACAGUGGUGAACCGGUGACAGGGUCAUGGGCGGCCGAGGCUUACUGAUGCAUGUGGGGAGUGAAGGCUGGCCCGUGUGAUCCGAUCCAACAGACGAGCUACUGUUGUUCAAACUGCUGAACAAGUUAAUGCUGGUUCUGAUAGAAAGGGGUCAGAAUACACAGUGCAGGACGGGUCAGGGCAGCGAAAGCGGGACCAACACUAAUAUUAGGCAGGUGGUCAUAAUGUUAUGACAAAGAUCACUCUACAGUUCAGAAAAUGAGAUAUAAAGUGAGAAUUAUGAGAUAAUUAGAAACUGAAAUUAUUAAAAACAUUCAGCUCAGAUAUGAGUUUUGGUCAAAUUUAAUAAAAAAAUAAAACAAACAUACAAAAUCAGAUUUUUUUGCACUUAUAUUUAAUUCAGUUUUAUAUAAUUACAAAUUUUUGGAUUUCAGGAGGUAAAGUUGGGAUUUGUGCAGGUUUUCUGUGUGUAUAUUUACAUAUGUCAAGGAUUUCUGAACUUUUAUAUUGAUUAAACGAACAUAAAAAAAGUACCAUUUUUUAAAGAAUAAAUGGAACCGAUUUGUUUUAUUCAGAUUUUAUGCCUAUACGUUACACCCUAGGUAGCCAGCAUGCAGGAUAGAGAGGAACAUCUUCCCGUUCCUGCCUCGACAAUGCAAAUAAAAUCAAAUUAAAAACAUGUGAAAUCGCUAAAUCUAGAAUACGAAUAAUGAACCAACGUCGUCUUCCCCUGAGACGUGUCUUAGUGUCGUUGGUAUAGUUUUCACGUCUUCUGUGUGUGUGUGUGUGUGUGUGUGUGUGUGUGACAGAGCGUGUGCAAAAUUACAGGCGGAAUAU